ensembl:lncRNA
CAAAUUGUUGACCAGAAGGAUCGGGAGAGGGCUGAGAAUGAUGAAGACCAAGGACUUGAAUCACAAGUACAAGAUUUGCAGAAGAGUGAAGAUCCAGAUAACGCAGACAUAAUGGUCCAAUGUGAGCAAGAUGUAGAACAGGAAAAGCAGAUAAACAUAGUGGAACAUGGAGAGACAGAAGGCAUUGGAGGAUUUAAACAUUCAGAUGGACAUUCUAUUGAUGAAAAGGAGAAACAAAAUGUUGACCCUAUGGAUCAGGAGAUGACUGAGAAUGAUGAAGAACAAGGAAUUGAAUCACAAGUGCAAGAUUUGCUACCACAGCGGGAAUAUUUUACAGAGGAAGCCGAUGACCUUGCAAAGCCUGAAAUGCUGAAUUUAAUGGAAAAAUAUUCUGAUGAAAUUGAUGAAUUCUCUAAAAAAGGGGUUGAGGAGGUGAUGCUUGAAACUGAGCAGGAUGAAGACACCACAGAAAGUGAACACGACACGACUAAAUAUGAGCUAAUGGAGUCAGUAGAAACCCUGCAGAGAGUUUCCGAAGAACUAUCUGAAAAAAAAGUACCAAAUGUUGAACUGAAAAUGACCACAGUAGUGGAUGAGUUUUUUGAAACCGUUUAUACAUUAGAAGACUCCCUGCUGUCGGAUUCAAAACAGGAUACUUCAGAAAAAACUCCUGAAACAGGAACUGGGUCAUCUAUGGUGGCCAUGAAAACUGAGGGCAUGGUUUCAGAUCUAAUUGUUUGUGAGUUCCCAGGAGAAUCGAGCAAAGGGCCAGAGACUGCAUUGGCGGAGACUGAUUUGGGAUGUUUUGAGGAGAUCAAAAGUAACCUACAUGAUCCCCAAACUCUUGCAGAAGAGCAAGCAGAAAGGGAAGCUGUGGUCAUAUGCUCUGUUGAGCACUCUGAGACCCUGAAAACAGUUGAGACUGAACAAGACAUUGAAACCUUAAUCGAAUCCUUGGGUACAACAGAAAGUCAUGCACAUCAGGAAAUAGACAAAACCAAGUUCUCACACAAAGAACAUGUUGAAUUAAGAACUGAACUGAGCGAAGAAACAACUGAUACAAAGAUCAGUUCAGAAGAUGAGGAAGCAGAACCCUCCGAGAAAGAAGGUCAAUCAUUAGUCAUCAGAAAUGUCACUUUACAGUCACAUGAGCUUCUUGAGUUCAAAGAAGGUGAAUGCAAAUCAUCUCUAGGAACAAUGGACACAUUCAGUGAAUCACUAGGAAAUUCAAGUGUGUCUGAAAUCGCUGAAAAUGCAGAGAUUGAACAUGUUGCAGAGGAGCAAACAGAUGUGAAACCUGUAUUAACAAGGUCUUUAAGUUCAGCCGGGUUUCUGGAGGAAACUGUACAUCUGCAGGAUGUAUCAGAGCGAUGCACCGAAGAGCAGGAGAUCCUGGAGACUGCUUUAGAGUAUGUAGAAGGAAUAACAAAUCAAGUCUUGAAGGAUAUGAUAGAAACAGAAGUUAACUUAGUACAAGAAACAGAACCUUUGGCAGGACCUUCAUCAGAAGAACCUGGUGAUGCAGAAUAUCAGGGACCUGCACAAUGUGUGUCAGCUGAUGCCUUUGUCCUGGAAGAAGAAGGGAAGUUAUUGGGUGAGACAAUGGAAAGUAAGGUAGAAAUGGAGGUGGAAACCACAAGUAGUGAAGUUCUUAAACAAACUGAGCAACAUAUUAGUUCACCAGUGUGUGAAACGACUGAAGCUGAUGGAUGUCGUGAUAUUGCUGGAGCAACAGUGUUGAGUAGUCAUGAAGACUUAAUGGAAGUCAGCAGACCUGGGAUGAAAAGAGGAUUUGAUCAAGUGAACAAAGACCUUGCAGAGGUGAAGACGGAACGAAAAUUUGAUUUGUAUCUACAGGCAUUUGAGGAAUCAUCAUUGGACUUUACCAUUCAGAAGACUCGAAUUGCUGUGAAAAAUCCCCUAGUUCGGCCUCCUAAAGACCCCAGAAGGCUCCUCUUCAAGGCCUCGGUCGAACCUCUUGUCUCACAGCCUUCACCACGUAGUCAGAAGGUUGAAGUCUCUGUUCCAAGUAAAGGGGUGACUGGAUUUAAACUUCCAGGACUGGGUGCAGAGCUGCCAGUACUGAGAAAAACUGAGUUUGGGAAGAAAACAAGAGAAGGAGGAGCAGCAGAGAGAACACUACAACCACAGCAAAAGUCAGUUGCAGUAACAGAGGAUUCUGUCAAACAAGAGCAAGCGCCAGUGCCAGUGCCAGCUAAACCCAAAUGGACACCGCCAAAGCAUCCUGGUAUGGGAAGUCCCUUCAUGAUGGCAGAACUCAAAAGCAAACUCAAAAAGCCUGUUCAGGAGUAAUAUAUUUCAUUUCAUCAUCAUUUUCAGAUGCCUCAUUCACCUGUUUUUAUUUGUCUUAUUCAAGCUCAUUGCAGCCUGGUAAAUAUUAUGGAAAGUUAUCCCACUGUUAUUCUAAAAUUGUAUUUUACUUCCGCUAUUUUGUUUGCUUCUAUCGAAGAAUCUAAGCUGUGAACAAACAUUUCUCAUGCAUUUUUCUUAAGACUGAUUAUUUAUUUAUAUUUGAAAAAACUAUAAGGAAAAUGAUUACAUGCUAAAUAUCAAUAAAUAUUUCUGCACUUUUCUGCA